AAUAACGAUUCUCUGGAAGGGGGAGUAUUGUAGGGUUUAUGCUUUAUAUUGCACUUGCUUCAUUACUUUACUUUGUUAAUUUUGAUAUUUUCGAUAUACCUAAGUUAGCUUUGUGAAAUGUAGAUCAAAAAGAAAAUUUUUCUCAUAUACACACAUACAUAUAAUUAUUUAGUAAAAAAUAAAGGUAGAAUGUCGAGAUCAUUGGCAGCAAAGGCUUCCUUAGCUACUCGAGUUGACGCCUUUGGAGAGGAGGCGAGUUGUGAACUAGGAGCAACUCAUGAGGUGAAACUAGAGGCACGCCUGCGAUCGCUGGAGGAAGGCAACCUACGCAGACUUUCUGGCACUGGAAAAGCAAACGCCAUAUUCAAAAAAUAUCAGGCUAAAAGCGAGGUAUUUCUUUUGGAACUCGAGGCUGAUAGCACAAUAUCCGUUAAAAAGCGAGAACACUCAGAAUCAUCUCCAGCUGAAGUUCAGGAUGAAUCAGUGGUUGAAACUAGUGAAAAUCAAGAUGAAAGUACAGCUGGGGUAGAAAAGAAAAAGAAAAAGAAGAAGAAGAAGAAUGAAUCCGAGGCUGAUAGCACAAUAUCCGUUAAAAAGCGAGAACACUCAGAAUCAUCUCCAGCUGAAGUUGAGGAUGAAUCAGUGGUUAAAACUAGGGAAAAUCAAGAUGAAAGUACUGCUGGGGUAGAAAAGAAAAAGAAAAAUAAGAAGAAGAAUGAAUCCGAGGCUGAUAGCACAAUAUCCGUUAAAAAGCGAAAACAUUUAGAAUCAUCUCGAGUUGAAGUUCAGGAUGAAUCAGUGGUUGAAACUAGUGAAAAUCAAGAUGAAAGUACAGCUGGGGUAGAAAAGAAAAAGAAAAAUAAGAAGAAGAAGAAGAAGAAUGAAUCCGAGGCUGAUAGUACAAUAUCCGUUAAAAAGCGAAAACAUUUAGAAUCAUCUCGAGCUGAAGUUCAGGAUGAAUCAGUGGUUGAAACUAGUGAAAAUCAAGAUGAAAGUACAGCUGGGGUAGAAAAGAAAAAGAAAAAUAAGAAGAAGAAUGAAUCCGAGGCUGAUAGCACAAUAUCCGUUAAAAAGCGAAAACAUUUAGAAUCAUCUCGAGCUGAAGUUCAGGAUGAAUCAGUGGUUGAAACUAGUGAAAAUCAAGAUGAAAGUACAGCUGGGGUAGAAAAGAAAAAGAAAAAUAAGAAGAAGAAGAUGAAUGAAUCCGAGGCUGAUAGCACAAUAUCCGUUAAAAAGCGAGAACACUCAGAAUCAUUUCCAGCUGAAUUUCAGGAUGAAUCAGUGGUUAAAAUAGUGAAAAUCAAGAUGAAAGUACAGCUGGGGUAGAAAAGAAAAAGAAGAAGAAAAAAAGAAGAAUGAAUCCGAGGCUGAUAGCACAAUAUCCGUUAAAAAGCGAAAACAUUUAGAAUCAUCUCGAGCUAAAGUUUUGCAUAUUUCCGAUCACAUGAAGUGACCAUAAACCUUGGCUGUCUGAUUUCCAAAAUUUAGGCAGUCUUUUAAAAUAAAAUAAUGUACGACCACAUAACACUUUAAGCUUUAUUUAGCAAUGAAGUACUAUAUAAUCACCGCACUAAAUUAGUUAGAAUAGUUAUAAGCAAGCCUUUAUCUUGAUGUUUUGUUGUUUUUUGAGAGCAAAAAAUCAACAGAUCAGAAGGAUUAUAUUAGAAAUAAAUUCACAAAUUUAAUACUGUUUCGCAACCAAUAAGUGGCAUAGCCAAGAAUUAAUUUAUGGAAUUUGUUAAUCAGUUACAUUCUUCGCAAGGUUUAAAAAAAAAAAACUAUAUAAAUCCGAUUUCCAAACUUUGGACGAUAAUAAUAAAAAAAAAAUUAUUAGAAUUGCAAACGCUUUAAUUAAAAUUUCUAGAAAAUAUUUUGGUAUGCAGAUUAUUUCAAGAAAUUUUAGCCACAAAGCUUGCAAUUCUAAUAAAACUUUGUGGAAUUUCUUUAAUUUUUGCACAAAGUUUGGAAUAAUGAGCUCAAUUUUUAUAAAAAAACAAACAUUAGCGAAAAAAUUUUAAAUGAAUAACAAAGGGAAUAUUAUAUAAAGAUGUAUACGAUUUUAACUGCCUAACCAGAAUGCUCUAAACUGCCCACAAUAUGUAGCUGUGGUUAUGGUAUAUUAUUUCUGAUGUAGCUAGCGAAAUAGCUGGUGGCUGUGGUACUACAUUUCGUUUAGCCAGUAGCUUUAAAAUUUUAAUACUUUAUCAUAAAGUUUCAGUUUGUAUAAGUAAACAUCGCCAACAAAGAGGCACACGCACCUGAGAGUAAAGUAAUCCCCAUCAAAUUUAUUUUUAAACGCUACUGAGGAAACGUCAAACUAGACUGAAUGUAUCUGUGAAUAUACAUAUGUAACAAAUGGAAACACAUACCUUGUUCAUACCAAUGUAAGAACCGCAUUUAUAAUGAACCGAUUUGACUCUACACAUAUUUCUUUCAAAAGUUUAUACCUGUUUCUUUAGAGAGCCCUCGCUGAAACCGUAUUCAAAAAUAAACAAAAUUUGUUAUUUUCUUUCGAUAUUUCUUUAAUAAUUAAUUUGCGCGAUUGGCCGAAAUAGAAGCGAACAAUAAUUCCAAUCCUUACUAAUAUUAUAAAUCAGAAAGUGAGUUGGUUUGUUUGCUACGUUUUCACGCUUUAACUACUCUACCGAUCAUCAUGAAAUUUUGUACACUCUUGUCAUUUAGCCCAACU